UAGUUAGUUAUUCACUUGCAAGUGAAUGAGUCGACCUCUUUAAAUCCGUAUUCAUGUGAACUUCAAUUUAACUAGAGAUUGACAACGUAUGCAUUGUAUGUGUACUGGUUAUUUAAAGAAAAAGAAUGUCAACAAUGAAAGUGAAACUAAGGUAAAUCAUUUGAUAAGUAAUUCGAUGCACAUAAAAUCAUUCUUAUACGGUUAAAAACAAUGAGAAACAUCUAUUAUUAAUCUAUAAAAUAAAAUCAAACAGACCUAUAAAAAUCCCAUUGCACGUGUUGGUUUAAUCUAUUCAUAUCUUUAUUUAUGUUUACAUCGCUUAUAUGGUCAUCUGAGGUCAAAUCAAUAGUUAAUUAGAUGGCGUCUGGACUAAAAUACACACGAAACGAACCUAUAUAUUAUCUACCCCAUGCUCUGUAAACUGUUUAUUUUAGACUUUUGAUAGUUUGGAUAAAUGUUUUACAUUGUUAAAAAUCAACUAUGAGAAUUUGAGUCAAAUCGGUGACCAUGAAUUUGACAGCU
rnacentral:lncRNA from 1 species